GUCUGCGUCUCGGUGGCAGGCAGGGGUGAGCCCAGCCACUCACCUUCCAGGAAGCGUGGAUUCCUGGAAGUGAGGGGAACCGCCGUCAUUUCGCAGGCAGCGGCAGCGGCACGCAGCCUUCUUGGACCAGACUGGAGUUCCAGGUUUGGGAGGGUGGCUUUCUGCUGCACUACAGAAAUGCUACACCUUGGUGAUGGACCUUUAUUCCCCAGGAGCACUUUAGGUAGAGGAUACGUCUAACAUUCGGGGGAGAGCAGAAGCCCCUAACUAGCAGCUGGCACAAAAAGUCUGGUGUCAAUACUCUGCCACCCCAAGAGCAUCCGGGCAUUGGGAGUGGAGGCAGUGGUACCUUUGUUAUCCCUAAGGUUCAAAGACUCCUUGAGACAAAGCUCCAGCUGCCGCCGACCCCUCUCUGCCCCCUCUGCGGCCCUCCCUCCUUUCCCUCUCCGCCGCAGCCUGCUUACCCUGCUCAGUGUCCACACCUCGGCAGUUUUACCAGCCCAGCGCCUGGAGAGUGCUCGCGCAGGGGCGGGGCCGGCACGGUGUGACGUGCACAGAAGCUUAUACAGACUCCCUCACGCCCCUCAGCUGGUACCCCAGUCAUUGGCCGGUCGCAGGCCGCCUCCCAGCCGCCAGGUCCGCUUGCUGGACGCCGGCCAAGGGAGGCGGCGCGCCACGAGGGCUCGGGACUGAGCUGGCGAUGUUGUUUCCACUUCUGCUGCACAGCCGUUGACUUGAGUAGAUUACAGCCCCGGUGGGCAAGGAAGGGACCCUCACCGAUGUCCGGAACCCAGUGGAAGGGGAUGAGGGAUCCAAAGAUUGAGCUGAAAGAUGGGAAGACUGAGACGCCCCGCUUCUCCAGCUGGAAGGUCUGGGCAGAGACCGAAGUUCCCCUGGAGGCCUCCGGAUCCUGCUAGUCUCCCGGCGCUGAGUUCCGUCUCUACUAAUUUUGACAAGCGUUCGUAUUGCAACUACGACAGCCCUGUUUGUCUUUUAGGGAAAACAAGAUAAAGAAACUGAGGAAGAGAGCAGUAAGUAACUUGAUCAAGGCCACAGCUGGUAAGUUGGCAGAGAUGGAACUGGAAUGAAGUCUGUUUGGCACCAGUACUCCUUAAGACUCUUUGGAAUGUAAAACUCUUCCUGCAAACACCAACCAACCAAUCUAA